rnacentral:rRNA from 1 species
AUUGAACGCUGGCGGCAGGCCUAACACAUGCAAGUCGAACGAGUGGCGGACUGGUGAGUAAUGUCGGGGAAACUGCCCGACCGACGGGUAUAACUACUGGAAACGGUAGCUAAUACCGCAUACCACCGGUUGUGCCCAUAUGGGAUUAGCUAGUAGGUGGGGUAACGGCUCACCAAGGCGACGAUCCAUAGCUGGUCUGAGAGGGUGACCGGCCACACUGGGACUGAGACACGGCCCAGACUCCUACGGGAGGCAGCAGUGGGGAAUAUUGAACAAUGGGCGAAAGCCUGAUGCAGCAAUGCCGCGUGAAUGAAGAAGGCUUUCGGGUUGUAAAAUACUUUCGGCAAGGAGGCGGUACUCACACAGAAAGCAACGGCUAACUCCGUGCCAGCCGCCGCGGUAAUAC